UCAUCAACUCACUAACAAGUAUUGUUACUAAACUUUCCCUUUGAUAUUAUCUUCAUGGCAACCAUGGCUGCAACUCUCGCCUCUUCACUCACCUCGAAAAUCUUCGAUAACAAAACCUCCUUCAAUGGCUCACCCGUGUUCUCCCGGGUGCAAUCCAUCAAAUCUGCCCCUAAGAACCACUCAUCUACCAUCUCUGCGGUUGCAACUCCUAACUAUGACCUAGACAACUUCAAAUUCAACCCUAUCAAGGAGUCCAUCGUGUCCCGAGAGAUGACACGGAGAUACAUGACCGACAUGAUCACGUAUGCAGACACUGAUGUUGUUGUUGUAGGUGCAGGAUCAGCUGGCCUAUCAUGUGCCUAUGAGCUCAGCAAGAACCCUGACAUCAACAUAGCAAUUAUUGAACAAUCCGUGAGCCCUGGUGGCGGUGCGUGGCUAGGUGGACAGCUUUUCUCAGCUAUGGUUGUUCGUAAACCAGCUCACAAGUUCCUUGACGAGCUCGAGGUGGAGUACGAUGAGCAAGAUGACUACGUGGUCAUCAAGCAUGCAGCACUUUUUACGUCGACUAUUAUGAGCAAGCUUUUGGCUAGGCCUAAUGUGAAGCUGUUCAAUGCAGUGGCGGCUGAGGAUUUGAUUGUCAAGGGAGACAGAGUUGCUGGAGUUGUGACAAAUUGGGCUCUUGUGUCCAUGAACCAUGACACACAAUCUUGCAUGGACCCGAAUGUCAUGGAAGCUAAGAUUGUGGUUAGCUCGUGUGGGCAUGAUGGUCCUUUUGGAGCCACUGGUGUCAAGAGGUUGAGGAGUAUCGGGAUGAUUGAGAGCGUUCCUGGAAUGAAGGCUCUUGAUAUGAAUGCUGCUGAGGACGCGAUUGUUAGGCUUACUAGAGAAAUUGUGCCCGGGAUGAUUGUUACUGGCAUGGAAGUGGCUGAGAUUGAUGGAUCCCCAAGAAUGGUAAAAACUUUUUACGCGAAUUCCUAUUAUAUACAAAACAUUUUCAUUGAUCAUCUUAUUAGGCUGUAUUAGAAAAUUUUGGGUACAUUUUAACGAAUGUUAUUGUAUAUGCAGGGACCGACAUUUGGGGCGAUGAUGAUGUCAGGACAGAAAGCAGCACAUCUGGCAUUGAGGGCAUUAGGUCUACCAAAUGCUCUGGAAGAGAGCCAACCAGAGUUUGUAAUUGCAGAUGCUGCGGAUGAGAUUGUGGAAGCUUGAUCAAUCUAAUAGUAGUACGACUGUACGUGUAAUGUUAUGAGAUAAAUAAAGCAAGAUUGUGCAAUAAACUUUCUUUGGAAGGGAGAACAGAUGUGGAUUUGUUCCUGUUUUUAGAGUAAGGGGUGAAGAUGUUGAUAAGGUGAUCAUGAAUGUAUUGUAGUAGCUUUUGGUUCUGCUUGGACCCUAGUAAUGAUUUUAUAAUCGUCUGAUUCCUCGGCCACCUGUUAAUAGGAUAACAGAUUGAAAUUUGCAUCUAUGGAAUUGUUAAUUCUGGACUUCCAAGUUCUCUUUAAUUAAGAGAUACAUGUCCUAUAUGAAUUGAACCAAAAUACGAUAUCCGAGUUCCUUCCGGUUUAUCAUCCAACUUACGUACGGACGUGCAGAGAUGACCGCAAGCAUUUUUUAAUAAAACUGUAAUGUCUGAGCAAAGAAGGCGAAGUCAUCAUAACAUGCAACCAAUUUAAUAAACGAUACCUCUUUGUACUGAAAAACUGGAAAGAAAUUGACGAAGAGAGAGUUGAGGAGUCCGAUGAUUGAGUUGGCUCAUUAUACUGAGAGCCAUUUCCGAUGAAUUCUAUUACUUUUAACAAGGAAAGAUGUAUAAAGAGCAAAAGGAAGAGAAUCCCCAGCUUAAGAAAGAAUUCUAUGAGUUUUAGUAGGGACAGAGGCAUCGAGAGCAAAUGAGAGAGAGAGGCCCAAGCUUAAUAAAAGAACUUCAGGCGAAAAUAGGAUGAAACUUUGGCUUCCAUAAACUGCACAACUGACAUAAAAACCCACUACCACUCUCAAAACCAAAUCAAGGUCUGAAUUGUAUCCUUCAUACUGUGGUGUUGAUCUUUGUUUUGAUAAGGAAAGAUUAACAGCCCCGGCAUAAUGGAGUAAUGCAGCAACUACUGCAGUUGUCAGCUUUGGAUGAUUCAAGGCAUUUAAUUGAAACUUCAUGCUUGCGGUUCUCUCCCUCCCCUUCUCGAAUAAUGAUACCAGGGUUGAUCUAGAUAAAGAGUGGGAAAAAGUUGGACAGAAACAGUGUACACAUCGAUGGUCAUUAAGCUGAUCAUAAAGUAGUUCAAUGGCUGCAUGGAAUCGAGCCUCAGCACAAAGUACAAUACCUAGAUUAGAGGCCUCUCAAGAAUCAAGUAACCUCUGCUAAUUAUAUCUAUUGCAGAAACAGAACAAAGAUUCGUAAUUUAAAGUAUUGAAUGAUGAAUUAAAACCUGACACAGCCACUUCUCCGCUUCGUUUCAGUCUCUAGUUACAAACAGAUAAUGAAAGAAGCUGCAGAGUAAUUCAAUUACGCCCAAAUGUUUGUGAUGUGGAUUUCAUCCUUGCAGUGUGCCUAUAAAUGGCUUUAGACAGGCUGAUGCAGAGAAAGGAACAAUAACUGUGGUGGUGCAUCGACUAUCGAGAACCAGAUAUCUGUUUCACAAGCUAGAGCAAGUAAUUCACUAUACUCUUGCAGAACACAUGGAAGGUCCUUACUACAUAAUAAUCCAUCUAGAGCAUGUAAAAACAUGAACAAAGCAAAAAAAAUCCGCUUUAAGGCUUUGUCCCACGUACACCAUCCACCCUAGUUGGCCAUCCACAAGUAACACGAAUGUUAUAGUGAUAAUCUGAAUUAUUACGUAUAACGGUUGAACUGGAUAAACACCAAAUUCAAGUUGCGAUCAUCAUUAAGCUGAACAUUAAGCAAAACAAUGAGGCAUUAUAAUUGAGUACAUAGGUACGAAUCAGGGCAAUACAGAUCCAAAUCAAGCACUGACAAAAUAACUAGGGAACCUGAUGGUUAUAUAGUACAGUAUGUUUUAAGUCAAGUAACAUAUGCUUAGAUCCAAACUUUCAAAUAUAAGAACAUCAAUAUAUACAACACUCAGUCCAUCACCAACUUAACCUCAACAUAUCAUUUAUUAUAUCAGCAUUGAGGUUUUUUAAGUGACUCCGCAACAAUUUUCCCGUCCAAUUGUAAAAACAUAAGAUGAACACUAAAAUUCUGUAUCUGAGUCAACCACAAUAGAACAGCAACCAGAACAACUUGUCCCCUCUUAACAGCCUUGAAGAUUGCAUCAGACAGAAUGGUACUGGUUGUCUCUUUCUUUUCACGAGCCUCUUUCUUUUCUUUCUGCUAAAUACAAAUAGUGUAAUUAAAAUCCACACUAGGUUUUAAGUGUCGAGCACAAACCAUUUGUGGCAGGCACAGAGUGAUGAUCAACUUGGAAACAGAUUUCUUUGGACUCGGUCCCAAAUUGUAGCAUUGAGCACAUCAUAGUUAUCUAGGCAUAACGAGAAGGUCGUACAGUAUGUAGCUUAAUCUUUCAACAGCAUAAUCCAGUAGUGAAAUGUUACGACUUGUCGCUGGAUCUCAAAACAGUGAUUCACGAAUUGCUCCAUGGUCAGCUAGUAGCUUAACCAAACUAUAGGACAAAGACCUAGCUGCAUCCUGCAGCGUCAACUCCCAUAACAGUUUUGGAUGUUGAGAUCCAACGUCGAAGCCACGCUUGAAAAAAAUUCAACUGCACAUUUGCUUGCACGACAAUGAUAUUUCUUCCUAAGAAUACUAUAUGCGCUCACAUCCAACAAUACAGGCACAGCUCGCUCCGAUUUUUUCAUUGGUGAUUUGUGAACUCUCCAAAAUUAAUUGAAGUUUAUAAGAUUCAUAUUCCUCAAUGAUCAUCCUCCUGUUUGGCUGCAAAUCAAAUGAUGUAAAAGAACUCCAAUCUUGCCAAUAGUCAAUACAUAAUAUAAGCACAUGGGGCGAGAACUUAGUAAAUUUGGCUGAGCUACAUUACAAUGUAUAAAUGAAAUGCCUUAUAAAAGUUAAUGAAGAUGACUGGUUGAAUUUCAAAACUUAAAUCUCUGAUUGAACCCGAAAACAAGGACCUUUGCUGUUCACAAUAACUUUGUCAAAAGUUUCAGUACAACGGAUGGAAAUAUGAUAAACAACCUUAAAAUUCAAUUGAUGAUGCAUGGCUACUAAAAAUAGUUGGAGCCAUGCGAAUCUUGAAAAUCAUGUUGUUCUGCUCUUACAUUAAUUAAUACAACUCCAACAUUAACUACAAUCCUAACUAUUUUGCGGAGGUUGAAAUAGAGAGCAAGGAAAAUAUUGGCUACAACUGCCACUGAAUUUCAAGCCUCGUUUGAACGACAGUACACUAUGCUUCAAUCUCUAUCUUUUCUACUGCUUCCUCUUCCAUCGUGCUCUGACGUCUAAAUAUCAAAGCUGAUGAAGGGCUGUCUACAGAAAGGGUACCUUCCAAUACCUUAACAACCUCGCCGAUGGAAGGUCUCAGAAAUGGUUGGCUUUGCAUACACCACAACGCUAUUCUAACAACUCUUUCUACCCCUCUCGCGUCCUCUAUUUCAUAUAAUUCCUUCUCUUUAUUCAACUGUUCAAAUACUUGUUGACCAACAGCUACAUUCCUCUUGCACAGCACAAUCUGAAGUAAUAUUUCCCCAAGCAUGUAAAUAUCUCUCUCCGGUGACGAUUCUGAAGUGGCGGCUCCUUCCUUUAGUUUAAAAAGUCCAAAAUUUGUCAGCUUAGGGACCAGCUUCUCAUCGAGCAAGACAUUUUCCAGUUUCAGAUCACCGUGAACUAUACACUGUUGACACUCAGAGUGUAGAUAAGCAAUGCCACGAGCAAUUCCAAUAGCAAUAUCAAGCCUAUGCUGCCAAUCAGUAUUACUUUUGUCAUGAUCAACGUUGAAUAAAAAGUUGUCCAAUGAGCCAUUUGGGACAUACUCAAAAAGUAUGAUCUUGUGCUUUGCCUCAAAGCAAAAACCUGUCAGAGAGACGAGGUUACGGUGAUGAGUCCUUCCCAAGCUUGCAACUGCUACUCGGAAUUCUUUCUCUGAUACAACUGGAUUGUUUAUCACUUUGGCAAUCACCAGUGAUCUGUUUGAGAGCUGACCUUUAAAUACUGAAGGACCAAGUUGAUUUUUAAAAUUUGAAGUUAGCUCUUGUAUCUCUUCAAAAGAUAGUCUGAUAAGAGCACUGUAGUGUGGGUUCAUCUGCUCAUCCUUCCCAAAAGGAAUCCGUUUCCCAGCUUUCAUUUGCCUUCUCUUGUGAAGAAACCAAAAUGCAAACAUCUGCAAGACCAGGAUAAUCAACAGUGUCCCCAAAAUUAUGAUGACAAUAGUUCCUAUAAACUUUCUACUGCUACCUCUUUCAGCUCCAGGUUUACCAGGUGACAAAUAAAUUAAUCCUGCAUCAUGAGGGUUAGCACCUCGAGCUGAAACUGCCUGGGGGACAAAACACGCUUUCAAGUAUGAAGUGGAAGGCACAGAUGGGGUUUGAUACCCACUUAUAAAGCUAGUCCUUUUCACAGUGCAUAGACCUGAACCAUCAUUCUUCGAAGUUGCAGCGAUACAUGUAGUGUCAUUAGAGCAGUACGCUCUACAAGCUUCUUGGCCCAACAUCAAAUCGACAUCAUGUGGAGGAUAUAGACCAUAAAGUACUGUUUGUUUCAUAACUAACAUGCUCGUACGCAUCUUGCAGUUACUCAAGUCGAUCAUCUUUUUGCACCCAGAAUUACCAAAAUCAGUUGCAGGAGCACCAGUUGCCCAUUCGUUAGAAUCUGAAAACAAGCAAUCACAAACAGGUCCUGAUGAAUUGAACCCACAUACACUAUAUAGACCACAAGCACCAAAUACAGUACACUGGUUUUCAACAGCUUGCCAUCCUACUCUCCAAGUCUGAACAAAACUAUCCCACGAAUACAUUCUCAAGUUCCCAUCUUGAUCUAUCCUCAAAUGCCUCAACCUGACAGAAGGGUCUCUAAAAUCUUUACUCGAAGUCGACCAAACCAUCUUGUUUGCAUCAUCAUACAACCCCAAAACACCAUCAUUGUCAAACCUCGCUUCCUUAACGGCAGCAGAGGAACUCGAAUGACUCCUCCAAUAAGUAACAUUGUGUUCCCAAACAAGAGCCAGUUCACCAGACUCCCUAAUUACAAAACUAUAGUAACUGACAGUAGAUUUUGCCGAAGGGGCUCUAAGAUUUUGAGGGAAAUGAAGAGACUGGCCCGGAACCAAAGUGCUUGUUGGGCUAUUAUAGCUUUCCCACACUACUCUAUUCUUACUAUCAACAAGAACUAAAUUCCCAUUGUUCAAAAGAUUAGCUUUUUCAAUGCCUAAAUUAGAUGUAUUACUACUCCAAACAACUAAUCCAUCAAGGUCAUUACUUAAAACAAGCUUACCAUCUAAAUCAAGCUUAAAUGUAGAGUUUAAAGAAACUCUAAGUCCUCCACCUACAGUCCAUAUAGGAACAUUAGCAGCUUUAGUACCUAGAUUAUAUCUAAUACCUACCAAAAGCCCAUCAGAAUCAGACCCAAUUUUCUCAAAGAACCCCAAUGCAAAAACCCCAUUUUCAGAAACUAAGCUACUACUUGAAUCAACCCCAGAAAAUUUAAAUCCUAAGGGAACUGAUACACCAGAAAAAUCAUCACAAAACCCAAGAUUAACAAACCCCAACAACAAAAUCACAACUAAAACCCGAAAAGAGUUCUUGAAAUGUAUAAAUCUGUAGUUUUUACCUGGUAAGUACUUGAUGAGCACCUCUGAAACUGGCAAAAAAUCAAACAUUUCAGCUGCAAGAAUGAGUGUUAAAAGUAAAAAAUCAGUGGUGUGACAGAGUUGAAGUAGAUGAGGUAGUGUGUGAGUGAAAAAAGAGUAGCCUGUAUUUUUGGAAUUUUUAAAUAGAUGGUGUUUGCUUUUUCAUAAAGUCUGAAUCUUUGUUAUGGCAAGCCUGUAUAAAAAAUGAAAAUGACAAAAUCAAUACACCUUUUUGGAGAUUCGAGGUUUUCAACUCUACUUUCUUUUACUUCCACUAACUACUUUUCCGUGUGUCACAGUCCUCCAUCCGACCCUUCCCAUAAUCCCAUGGAAUAGAAUAAUUUGGUGAGGAUUAUAAAAGCACGUUUGGUUGAAUUUAAAAUAAGUAAAUUAAAUUAAAAAAAUAGAUUAUAAGUGAAAAUUUAAUUUAAUAUAAGGUGUUAGAAGUGUUUGGAUACCGUGAUAGUUA
rnacentral:lncRNA from 1 species